GACAGAGGCCUCGAGCGUUAGGCGGAAUCACUGGGCUUAAAGCGUGUGUAGGCGGGCCCGUAAGUGUCUUGUGAAAUCCCACGGCUCAACCGUGGAACUGCUGGGCAUACUGCGGGUCUUGGGCCAACUAGGGGCAGCCGGAACAAGCGGUGGAGCGGUGAAAUGCGUAGAUAUCGCUUGGAACGCCGAAGGUAAAAACAGGCUGCUGGGGUUGCGCCGACGCUGAGACACGAAAGCCAGGGGAGCAAACGGG
rnacentral:rRNA from 1 species